rnacentral:sRNA from 1 species
UAUCUCUCCGUACGGGGAAGGAUGAGAAGCUUCGACUAAGGUUCGAUUCGAGCGCAGCGAGAAAGCGUUGCCGUAGGCAACGACCCGAAGGGCGAAGCG